GGGCUCUCGCCGUGAGUCGACGAAGGGAGCGCGGGCGCGCGCCCGCGUCCGCGCACUGAGAGUCGCCUCGGCCGCUCGCUUUCUCGACUCCCGCCUCGCGCCUCGAUCCUGUUCCGCCUCCCUCGGCCCUCCUGCCCGCCCCCACUCGUCGGCCCUCAGCUCAGAGACCUAAUAGGAUGGGGUCUUAGAGAAACAUCUUUUGAGCCACAGACUUCUUUGUUACCAGAAGGAAAAUGAAAGAAGAAAUUUAAAUACCACUUGAAGAGAGUUUCCUCAUCAGCAAAGUCAGAAAAAGUAUGUACCUGAAGGACUGAUUGUAAGGCUGGGAUGAGAGAAUCCAUGUGAUCAGCCCUCACCAACAGGUGCUGCCCAGUUCAUGAGUGCUGCUGCUGUCCUGCCCAAGUACCCAGCUUGCAGAGUGCCAGAGUUAGAGUCCCAGGGGUGUUCUCCACAGCUGCAUGCUUGAUCCAGGCCUAUCAGGUGUUAUUUGUUGACGGAACCAGGCAUCAUCAGCAAACAAAACUGACAAAGCUUCCUGCCCUCUGUGGAAGGCAUCUGAGGAAGAGACUGGAUUUUGUAGCAACAUGUUAUUCUCAUUAUAAACUUUAUCAUUGGAAUACUAAAGCCAAAUCAUCCCCCAUCUCCUUGAUCAGGAUACCCACUUAAUCUAGGCAGCUACACAAUUGUGAGAGCCUUUGUUUUUUUCUGCUGAAACAUCCUUAAAAAGAUACCUCACAACCCAAGAUUUGGCUUUUCUUAAAUACGAUUUUUAAUUUUUUUCAUUUCUAUCUAGAGAUUUAAUUGGAAAUGGAAAAUCAUCAAUUUUCCAAUUAAAUGUCUGUUCCAAUCAACAUUAUACCUUUUAGGUUGUCAUUGUCAUUUUUAAGUUUAAGCAACUUUAAGGAUUUUGAAUCUGGCUGCCUGUAAAUUAAAGGUGAAAGUAAUCAUUGUGUUGGAUUGGAACAUUUUGUCAAUUGAGAGUGGUUUCCUUGUUCUUAGUGUAUGAAAAGUUUAUUUUUCUAAUGUAGAUUAAUAAAGGAGAUAAAGAAAAACAAAA
rnacentral:lncRNA from 1 species